rnacentral:lncRNA from 1 species
GUCAUGAAACUUUUUUACACCGGACACAAUAGCUAAAGCCUCCUUGUCAAUUUGGGCGUAAUUCCUCUCUGUAGUAAAGUCCGUGAAUAAAACGCAAUAGGAGCCUCAACCCCAUUUCUCAAAGUGUGGCUCAAUACAGCCCCUAUGCCAUACGGAGAAGUAUCGCAGGUGAGGUUGAGCGGUUUCUCCAAAUCGUAGUGUACAAGCAAACUGUCAGAAGACAAC